AGGCUGAUGCCACACAUGACAGAGUGGUCAAGAGAGAGGAUGGAGAAAAGCUGGCCAAGGAGUGUGGAGUGCCCUUUAUGGAGACCAGUGCCAAAUCUGGCCUGAAUGUGGAGCUGGCAUUCACAGCAGUGGCAAAAGAGCUGAAGCAUCGUCUGAUGAAAGAGCCGAGUGAGAAGUUCCAGCUGCAGGAGUACGUCAACAAGGAGAUGAAGGGGGCUGGAUGCUGCAGGACCUAGAUCUCCCCC